AGGCGCCCGUACCGUAAACCGACACAGGUGGGUGAGGAGAGUAUCCUAAGGCCAGCGAGAGAACUAUUGUUAAGGAACUCGGCAAAAUGACCCCGUAACUUAGGGAGAAGGGGUGCCUGUCUAUGACAGGCCGCAGAGAGUAGGCCCAAGCGACUGUUUACCAAAAACACAGGUUUCUGCUAAGUCGCAAGACGAUGUAUAGGAGCUGACGCCUGCCCGGUGCUGGAAGGUUAAGGGGAUCUGUUAGAGCAAUCGAAGCAGUGAACUUAAGCCCCAGUAAACGGCGGCCGUAACGAUAACGGUCCUAAGGUAGCGAAAUUCCUUGUCGGGUAAGUUCCGACCCGCACGAAAGGCGUAACGAUUUGGGCACUGUCUCAACAAUAGACUCGGUGAAAUUGUAAUCCCGGUGAAGAUGCCGGGUACCUGCGACAGGACGGAAAGACCCCAUGGAGCUUUACUGUAGCUUGACGUUGGGUCUUGGUACUACAUGUACAGGAUAGGUGGGAGACUAUGAAGCAUGGACGCCAGUCUGUGUGGAGUCAUCCUUGGGAUACCACCCUUGUAGUACUGGGAUCCUAACCAUAGGCCUUGAAUCAGGUCUUGGAACACCGUCAGGUGGGCAGUUUGACUGGGGCGGUCGCCUCCUAAAAAGUAACGGAGGCGCUCAAAGGUUUCCUCAGCACGGUCGGAAAUCGUGCGAAGAGUGUAAAGGCAAAAGGAAGCUUGAUUGCAAGACAUACAGGUCGAGCAAGGACGAAAGUCGGACUUAGUGAUCCGGUGGUACCGCAUGGAAGGGCCAUCGCUCAACGGAUAAAAGCUACCCUGGGGAUAACAGGCUUAUCUCCCCCAAGAGUCCACAUCGACGGGGAGGUUUGGCACCUCGAUGUCGGCUCAUCACAUCCUGGGGCUGUAGUAGGUCCCAAGGGUUGGGCUGUUCGCCCAUUAAAGUGGUACGCGAGCUGGGUUCAGAACGUCGUGAGACAGUUCGGUCCCUAUCCGUCGCAGGCGUAGGAAAUUUGAGAAGACCUGUCCUUAGUACGAGAGGACCGGGAUGGACGUACCUCUGGUGUACCAGUUGUUCUGCCAAGGGCAUGGCUGGGUAGCUAUGUACGGAAUGGAUAAGCGCUGAAAGCAUCUAAGCGCGAAGCCAACUUCAAGAUAAGAUUUCCCACCGUAAGGGUAAGACCCCAGGAAGACUACCUGGUUGAUAGGUCGAAGGUGUAAGUGCAGUAAUGUAUUUAGCUUAUCGAUACUAAUAGGUCGAGGACUUGACCGA
rnacentral:rRNA from 1 species